rnacentral:precursor_RNA from 7 species
UCUUGUUGCUGCAGUGUGAAUUAGUUCAUCUGGUUGAUCCAUUGGAAGACUGAGCUUGAGGGUGAAAGAGGUAAACAGGCUUCUGUAGAUCAGCCAGCUGACCUGAUUCAUCUUACUCAAAGGAUGCA